CCCACCUGCACCCACCAGCUCCGUAGUUCACGCUUGGCCAUCAACACCAGCCCUCUCUUCACAAAUCACCAAAGGGGCAGCGCAGAACACGAAACACUCAGAUGACCGAGCACAAAAAAGCCAUAUGACCAUGGGACCCAGCAACGUCGCUCUCUACACCCUGAUGGUGGUGGCUAUUUCCUCAGGACUUGUUCUCUGCUCAGGAUCAAACAACUCUGUUAACAC